CAGGCUUAACACAUGCAAGUCGAGGGGCAGCAUGGUCUUAGCUUGCUAAGGCCGAUGGCGACCGGCGCACGGGUGAGUAACACGUAUCCAACCUGCCGUCUACUCUUGGACAGCCUUCUGAAAGGAAGAUUAAUACAAGAUGGCAUCAUGAGUCCGCAUGUUCACAUGAUUAAAGGUAUUCCGGUAGACGAUGGGGAUGCGUUCCAUUAGAUAGUAGGCGGGGUAACGGCCCACCUAGUCUUCGAUGGAUAGGGGUUCUGAGAGGAAGGUCCCCCACAUUGGAACUGAGACACGGUCCAAACUCCUACGGGAGGCAGCAGUGAGGAAUAUUGGUCAAUGGGCGAGAGCCUGAACCAGCCAAGUAGCGUGAAGGAUGACUGCCCUAUGGGUUGUAAACUUCUUUUAUAAAGGAAUAAAGUCGGGUAUGGAUACCCGUUUGCAUGUACUUUAUGAAUAAGGAUCGGCUAACUCCGUGCCAGCAGCCGCGGUAAUACGGAGGAUCCGAGCGUUAUCCGGAUUUAUUGGGUUUAAAGGGAGCGUAGAUGGAUGUUUAAGUCAGUUGUGAAAGUUUGCGGCUCAACCGUAAAAUUGCAGUUGAUACUGGAUAUCUUGAGUGCAGUUGAGGCAGGCGGAAUUCGUGGUGUAGCGGUGAAAUGCUUAGAUAUCACGAAGAACUCCGAUUGCGAAGGCAGCCUGCUAAGCUGCAACUGACAUUGAGGCUCGAAAGUGUGGGUAUCAAACAGGAUUAGAUACCCUGGUAGUCCACACGGUAAACGAUGAAUACUCGCUGUUUGCGAUAUACUGCAAGCGGCCAAGCGAAAGCGUUAAGUAUUCCACCUGGGGAGUACGCCGGCAACGGUGAAACUCAAAGGAAUUGACGGGGGCCCGCACAAGCGGAGGAACAUGUGGUUUAAUUCGAUGAUACGCGAGGAACCUUACCCGGGCUUAAAUUGCAGAUGAAUUACGGUGAAAGCCGUAAGCCGCAAGGCAUCUGUGAAGGUGCUGCAUGGUUGUCGUCAGCUCGUGCCGUGAGGUGUCGGCUUAAGUGCCAUAACGAGCGCAACCCUUGUUGUCAGUUACUAACAGGUUCCGCUGAGGACUCUGACAAGACUGCCAUCGUAAGAUGUGAGGAAGGCGGGGAUGACGUCAAAUCAGCACGGCCCUUACGUCCGGGGCUACACACGUGUUACAAUGGGGGGUACAGAGGGCCGCUACCACGCGAGUGGAUGCCAAUCCCCAAAACCUCUCUCAGUUCGGACUGGAGUCUGCAACCCGACUCCACGAAGCUGGAUUCGCUAGUAAUCGCGCAUCAGCCACGGCGCGGUGAAUACGUUCCCGGGCCUUGUACACACCGCCCGUCAAGCCAUGGGAGCCGGGGGUACCUGAAGUGCGUAACCGCGAGGAGCGCCCUAGGGUAAAACUGGUGACUGGGGC
rnacentral:rRNA from 1 species